rnacentral:misc_RNA from 1 species
UCUCCGUAGGUGAACCUGCGGAGGGAUCAUUACAGAGUUCUCGCCCUCGCGGGUAGAUCUCCCACCCACUGUUAUCGUUACUGUGUUGCUUUGGCGGGCCGCCGUGCCCCGCUCGGCCGCCGGCUCCGGCUGGCGCGCGCCCGCCAGAGGCCCAGCAAACUCUGAAUGUUAGUGUCGUCUGAGUACUAUAUAAUAGUUAAAACUUUCAACAACGGAUCUCUUGGUUCUG